UACGAAGGGGGCUAGCGUUGUUCGGAAUCACUGGGCGUAAAGCGUACGUAGGCGGAUGCUUAAGUCAGAGGUGAAAGCCUGGAGCUCAACUCCAGAACUGCCUUUGAUACUGGGCGUCUUGAGUCCGGGAGAGGUGAGUGGAACUGCUAGUGUAGAGGUGAAAUUCGUAGAUAUUAGCAAGAACACCAGUGGCGAAGGCGGCUCACUGGCCCGGUACUGACGCUGAGGUACGAAAGCGUGGGGAGCAAACAGGAUUAGAUACCCCGGUAGU
rnacentral:rRNA from 1 species